rnacentral:rRNA from 1 species
UGGGGAAUAUUGCACAAUGGGCGGAAGCCUGAUGCAGCAACGCCGCGUGCGGGAUGACGGCCUUCGGGUUGUAAACCGCUUUCGCCUGUGACGAAGCGUGCGUGACGGUAAUGGGUAAAGAAGCACCGGCUAACUACGUGCCAGCAGCCGCGGUGAUACGUAGGGUGCGAGCGUUGUCCGGAUUUAUUGGGCGUAAAGGGCUCGUAGGUGGUUGAUCGCGUCGGAAGUGUAAUCUUGGGGCUUAACCCUGAGCGUGCUUUCGAUACGGGUUGACUUGAGGAAGGUAGGGGAGAAUGGAAUUCCUGGUGGAGCGGUGGAAUGCGCAGAUAUCAGGAGGAACACCAGUGGCGAAGGCGGUUCUCUGGGCCUUUCCUGACGCUGAGGAGCGAAAGCGUGGGGAGCGAACA